UACAGAGGGUGCAAGCGUUGUUCGGAAUUAUUGGGCGUAAAGGGCGCGUAGGCGGUGCGGUAAGUCUGCAGUGAAAUCUCUGGGCUCAACUCAGAGUCUGCUGUAGGAACUGCCGUGCUUGAGUGUGGGAGAGGUGAGUGGAAUUCCCGGUGUAGCGGUGAAAUGCGCAGAUAUCGGGAAGAACACCCGUGGCGAAGGCGGCACUCUGGGACGGUACUGACGCUGAGACGCGAAAGCGUGGGGAGCGAACAGG
rnacentral:rRNA from 1 species